GUGCUCACUUCGGCAACACAUAUACUAAAAUUGGAAAGAUACAGAGAAGAUUAGCAUGGCCCCUGCACAAGGAUGGCAUGCAAAUUUGUGAAGUGUUCCAUAUUAAA